rnacentral:rRNA from 1 species
UACGUAGGCAGCGAGCGUUGUUCGGAGUUACUGGGCGUAAAGAGUGCGUAGGCGGUUUUCUAAGUUUGGUGUGAAAUCUCCCGGCUUAACUGGGAGGGUGCGCCGAAGACUGGAAGGCUUGAGUAUGGGAGAGGUAAGCGGAAUUCCUGGUGUAGCGGUGAAAUGCGUAGAUAUCAGGAGGAACACCGGUGGUGUAGACGGCUUUCUGGACCGUAACUGACGCUGAGACACGAAAGCGUGGGUAGCAAACAGG